GCCGGAGUGGCGGAAUUGGUAGACGCUAAGGUGAAACUCGCCAGAAGAGUGAAAGAGAUAACAACGCGCUAAACAGUUGUGCAGGUUCGAUCCCUGCCUCCGGCA
rnacentral:tRNA from 1 species